rnacentral:rRNA from 1 species
CUCCAAUAGCGUAUAUUAAAGUUGUUGCAGUUAAAAAGCUCGUAGUUGGAUUUCUGGUGGCAGCGACCGGUCCGCGUCUUUGGGCGUGUGUACUUGAGCGCUGCUUCCAUUCGUGGGGAACCGUGUGGGGCGAGAGUUCUGCGCGAGGAUCCGCGUCGUUUACUGUGAAAAAUUAGAGUGUUUAAAGCAGGCUUAUGCCU